rnacentral:rRNA from 1 species
AACGAACGCUGGCGGCAGGCUUAACACAUGCAAGUCGAACGCCCCGCCAGGGGAGUGGCAGACAGGUGAGUAACGCGUGGGAACAUACCCUUUUCUACGGAAUAGCUCUGGGAAACUGGAAUUAAUACCGUAUACGCCCUACGGGGGAAAGAUUUAUCGGGGAAGGAUUGGCCCGCGUUGGAUUAGCUAGUUGGUGGGGUAAAGGCCUACCAAGGCGACGAUCCAUAGCUGGUCUGAGAGGAUGAUCAGCCACAUUGGGACUGAGACACGGCCCAAACUCCUACGGGAGGCAGCAGUGGGGAAUAUUGGACAAUGGGCGCAAGCCUGAUCCAGCCAUGCCGCGUGAGUGAUGAAGGCCUUAGGGUUGUAAAGCUCUUUCACCGAUGAAGAUAAUGACGGUAGUCGGAGAAGAAGCCCCGGCUAACUUCGUG